AUCAUGGCUCAGGACGAACGCUGGCGGCGUGCCUAACACAUGCAAGUCGAGCGGAGACAGUGAGUAGCUUGCUAUGAGCUGUUUUAGCGGCGGACGGGUGAGUAACGCGUGAGCAACCUUUCCCAGACAGGGGAAUAACAGUUAGAAAUGGCUGCUAAUACCGCAUAAGACCACAGCACCGCAUGGUGCAGGGGUAAAAACUCCGGUGGUAUGAGAUGGACCCGCGUCUGAUUAGCCAGUUGGCGGGGUAACGGCCCACCAAAGCGACGAUCAGUAGCCGGCCUGAGAGGGUGAACGGCCACAUUGGGACUGAGACACGGCCCAAACUCCUACGGGAGGCAGCAGUGGGGAGUAUUGCACAAUGGGGGAAACCCUGAUGCAGCGACGCCGCGUGAGUGAAGAAGUAUUUCGGUAUGUAAAGCUCUAUCAGCAGGAAAGAAAAUGACGGUACCUGACUAAGAAGCCCCGGCUAACUACGUG
rnacentral:rRNA from 1 species